rnacentral:rRNA from 1 species
CCUACGGGAGGCAGCAGUGGGGAAUAUUGCACAAUGGGGGAAACCCUGAUGCAGCGACGCCGCGUGAAGGAAGAAGUAUUUCGGUAUGUAAACUUCUAUCAGCAGGGAAGAAAAUGACGGUACCUGACUAAGAAGCCCCGGCUAACUACGUGCCAGCAGCCGCGGUCAUACGUAGGGGGCACGCGUUAUCCGGAUUUACUGGGUGUAAAGGGAGCGUAGGCGGGUUAGCAAGUCAGAAGUGAAAGCCCGGGGAUCAACUCCGGGACUGCUGUUGAAACUGUGGACCUAGAUUGCAGGAGAGGUAAGUGGAAUUCCUAGUGUAGCGGUGAAAUGCGUAGAUAUUAGGAGGAACACCAGUGGCGAAGGCGGCUUACUGGAGUGUAAAUGACGCUGAGGCUCGAAAGUGUGGGGAGCGAACAGGAUUAGAUACCCCGGUAGUC